GUCGAUGUGAGUACUAGGCUUUAAUUUUUAAAUUCCACACCGCUUCUGCACGAACACCGCCAAAGAUUAAAUUUCUUAUUCUUUGGGCCGCGGCUAACGGCGUUCAUUGAAAUUGACUCGCGAAGUCAGGUAUUGAGGUACUGAGUACCGCGCUGAAAAACAGACCCGACGAAAAGCGUUAGCCGCGAAUUUGCCUUCUCGUCGAUGUGAGUACUAAGCUUUACAGUGAAAAUCCAGAAACGGCACGUACAGACAUUAUUAAAUUCGUAAAAGAAACUGAAUUGAUUUGCGAGUGCGGCCCUCGCUGAAGCGAGUUGUAGCGACUUUCCCCCGUCUCUGAUGUUUUAUGGAAGAAAAAGUUGCUAAAGCGAAAUUCUGUGUGAACAGGCUAUAACGCUUUUUUGAUUUGCAGUAGUGAACAUUCUUUAAACCCCAUGUGAAAAGUAAAAUAGAUUGUAUACAUGUAAAUAAUUAACUGUUUUAUAUGAAUUUUAAAGAGCAAUUAGUUCUAAGUACCGAAAAUUACGAACGUCGUAGUUUAUGGUUAAACACCAAUAUCAUAAAAUCUUUUGUAUACCUACUAAUACCCGAAAGCAUGUUAUAAAACUUACAAACAUAUUAACACAAGCCUGAAGUAAUAAAAAGAUUUUGCGAAAGCCAAGGCGAAUGAAUGGAAAAUAAAAGUGGUUAAAAUAUCAAAACAAACUAGCUUCCGGAGGAAAAUCAAUAAACUAAACAGGCAACCCAACACUAAACUAGCGUGGAGCUUUCUAAAAUAUCUAAAUAAUUGACAAGAAGAGAAUUCAGUUGAAAACAUGGCAGUAUACGAAAGUCUAUCAGAUCAAUGAAGACCCAGGUUUUAUUUUGGAAGAUCUUGAAGAAAUUCUAAACUAAAACAAGAAGAAAUCUGGAGGGUUAGACAAAAUCACUAGUUGCCAUGAAGAUCAAUUUAGACCCAGGUUUUAGUUUGGAAGAUCUUGAAGAAAUUCUAAACGAAAACAAGAAGACAGCUGGAGGGUUAGACAAAAUCACAUACGAAAUGUUAAAAGCUCCUGGCAGUACCUCCAAAACCGAGCUAGUAUCAUUUUAUAACAACAAAGUUGCUAGGUGUGAUUUUCCGUCGGAAUGGAGAUGGAUUAAGAUUAUGCCCAUCCCAAAGAAAAACGAGGACCUGAACAAUGUACAAAACAUCAGAACUAUUUUUCUCAAUUCUGGUAAAAACAGUAAAUGCUAUGGCCAAAAUCAGACUGGAGAAAUGUAUUAAGGAUUA